rnacentral:rRNA from 1 species
UACGAAGGGGGCUAGCGUUGCUCGGAAUCACUGGGCGUAAAGGGUGCGUAGGCGGGAUCUUAAGUCAGAGGUGAAAGCCUGGAGCUCAACUCCAGAACUGCCUUUGAUACUGGGAUUCUUGAGUUCGGGAGAGGUGAGCGGAACUGCGAGUGUAGAGGUGAAAUUCGUAGAUAUUCGCAAGAACACCAGUGGCGAAGGCGGCUCACUGGCCCGAUACUGACGCUGAGGCACGAAAGCGUGGGGAGCAAACAGGG